rnacentral:rRNA from 1 species
UACGUAGGGUGCAAGCGUUAAUCGGAAUUACUGGGCGUAAAGCGUGCGCAGGCGGUUUUGUAAGACCGAUGUGAAAUCCCCGGGCUUAACCUGGGAACUGCAUUGGUGACUGCAAGGCUUGAGUGUGUCAGAGGGAGGUGGAAUUCCGCGUGUAGCAGUGAAAUGCGUAGAUAUGCGGAGGAACACCGAUGGCGAAGGCAAUCCCCUGGACCUGUACUGACGCUCAUGCACGAAAGCGUGGGAGCAAACAGG